GUGGGUAGUUUGACUGGGGCGGUCUCCUCCCAAAGAGUAACGGAGGAGCACGAAGGUUAGCUAAUCCUGGUCGGACAUCAGGAGGUUAGUGCAAUGGCAUAAGCUAGCUUGACUGCGAGCGUGACGGCGCGAGCAGGUGCGAAAGCAGGUCAUAGUGAUCCGGUGGUUCUGAAUGGAAGGGCCAUCGCUCAACGGAUAAAAGGUACUCCGGGGAUAACAGGCUGAUACCGCCCAAGAGUUCAUAUCGACGGCGGUGUUUGGCACCUCGAUGUCGGCUCAUCACAUCCUGGGGCUGAAGUAGGUCCCAAGGGUAUGGCUGUUCGCCAUUUAAAGUGGUACGCGAGCUGGGUUUAGAACGUCGUGAGACAGUUCGGUCCCUAUCUGCCGUGGGCGCUGGAGAAUUGAGGGGGGCUGCUCCUAGUACGAGAGGACCGGAGUGGACGCAUCACUGGUGUUCGGGUUGUCAUGCCAAUGGCAUUGCCCGGUAGCUAAAUGCGGAAGAGAUAAGUGCUGAAAGCAUCUAAGCACGAAACUUGCCCCGAGAUGAGUUCUCCCUGAGACUUUAAGUCUCCUGAAGGAACGUUAAAGACGAUGACGUUGAUAGGUCGGGUGUGUAAGCGUAGCGAUACGUUGAGCUAACCGAUACUAAUGAACCGUGAGGCUUAACCUU
rnacentral:rRNA from 1 species